CCUACUAUGUUACGACUUAUCUCAUUUUGGUAAUGAAAGCGACGGGCGAUAUGUACAUGAUUUAGAGCUUAUAUCUAACUAAACAUAUUAAAUUUAAUUUACAAUCAAAUCCUCCUUCUAAUUAAUUAUUUAAAUUAAUAUUCCGUAUUAAAUAAAUUUUUAUUGUAACCCAUUUUAACUUAAGCAUUAGCUGCACCUUGAUCUAAUAUAUUUAACACUAUUAAUAAUUAUUUUUAGUAAUUUAUUCUAUAAAAAUUACCUAAUAAUGAUGGUAUACAUACUACUCUACAAGCCUAAGUAAGAUUUUUCGUGGUGUAUCGAUUUAAAAACAGGUUCCUCUGACAAGACUAAAUCACCGCCAAAUUAUUCAAAUUUCAAGUACAUAACUUUAAAUACCUAGGUCUUAAAAAAUUACUUUUUGGUAU
rnacentral:rRNA from 1 species